ensembl:lncRNA novel transcript, antisense to ZNF521
UGAAAAGCUCUUACUUCUAUAAGCUUUUUCAUUUGCAUGGAUUAUCUAGUAUCGUUUUUUCCCAAUACCCAUUUGUUUAUAGAUGCUGGGAAAGGCUGUGGAGAAAGAGGUGAGAGAAAGAGGUGUGUGGCAGCACUCUGAGGCAUACGACAUGCACACCAGUAAAGAAGCAGGAGUAAUGACACAUUCAAAACAAAGAAUGAAGGUGGAUAAAGCACAGAGUCCUAGACUGCAGUUCUGCCCUGGAUUCAAAACAGUUUCUCCAUGGGAAAAUUUGAUGUGCUAUUUGCUAAAUAAUUUAAGAAUGUAAGUUAUCAACCAGAGAAAAAGGUCUGCCCAUAUUGGGAAUUUAAAAGCUCUUAUGUUUUAGCAAGUACUCUAAAUAAUACAUGACAUUAGACGAAAAAAAUCGUGAGCAAUACAAAAUGUUACACAAUAAUGUAAAAUAUAAAUAUUCAAAUAUACUAA